GACGAACGCUGGCGGCGUGCUUAACACAUGCAAGUCGAACGGAAAGGCCCUGCUUUUGUGGGGUGCUCGAGUGGCGAACGGGUGAGUAACACGUGAGUAACCUGCCCUUGACUUUGGGAUAACUUCAGGAAACUGAGGCUAAUACCGGAUAGGAGCUCCUGCUGCAUGGUGGGGGUUGGAAAGUUUCGGCGGUUGGGGACGGACUCGCGGCUUAUCAGCUUGUUGGUGGGGUAGUGGCUUACCAAGGCUUUGACGGGUAGCCGGCCUGAGAGGGUGACCGGCCACAUUGGGACUGAGAUACGGCCCAGACUCCUACGGGAGGCAGCAGUGGGGAAUAUUGCACAAUGGGCGGAAGCCUGAUGCAGCAACGCCGCGUGCGGGAUGACGGCCUUCGGGUUGUAAACCGCUUUCGCCUGUGACGAAGCGUGAGUGACGGUAAUGGGUAAAGAAGCACCGGCUAACUACGUG
rnacentral:rRNA from 1 species